rnacentral:rRNA from 1 species
ACGGGUGAGUAAUGUAUCGGAACGUGCCCAGUAGCGGGGGAUAACUACGCGAAAGCGUGGCUAAUACCGCAUACGCCCUACGGGGGAAAGGGGGGGAUCGCAAGACCUCCCACUAUUGGAGCGGCCGAUAUCGGAUAGCUAGUUGGUGGGGUAAAGGCCUACCAAGGCGACGAUCCGUAGCUGGUUUGAGAGGACGACCAGCCACACUGGGACUGAGACACGGCCCAGACUCCUACGGGAGGCAGCAGUGGGGAAUUUUGGACAAUGGGGGCAACCCUGAUCCAGCCAUCCCGCGUGUGCGAUGAAGGCCUUCGGGUUGUAAAGCACUUUUGGCAGGGAAGAAACGGCACCUUUUAAUACAGGGUGUCACUGACGGUACCUGCAGAAUAAGCACCGGCUAACUACGUGCCAGCAGCCGCGGUAAUACGUAGGGUGCAAGCGUUAAUCGGAAUUACUGGGCGUAAAGCGUGCGCAGGCGGUUCGGAAAGAAAGAUGUGAAAUCCCAGGGCUCAACCUUGGAACGGCAUUUUUAACUCCCGAGCUAGAGUAUGUCAGAGGGGGGUAGAAUUCCACGUGU